rnacentral:snRNA from 1 species
AUCACUUCUCGGCCUUUUGGCUAAGAUCAAGUGCGAAAACUGUUCUCGAAAUUCUUUGGGAGACAAUCAAUCCAUUAUUAUGUAGACUUUUUUUUUUCCUUGUAAAAUCCUGACCCCUU